AAGUUUGGUCCUAGCUUUACUAUCAACUGUUGUCCUAACUUACACAUGCAAGUCUCAGCAAUCCAGUGAAAAAGCCCUUUAAACCUCUCUCAGGCCAAGGAGCCGGCAUCAGGCACAGAAUUCUUGCCCAUAACGCCUAGUCUUACCACACCUCCAAAGGUAUUCAGCAGUGAUAAAAAUUGUACAUAAGCGCCAGCUUGAGUCAGUUAAAGAAAAGAGAGCCGGCCAACCCGGUGCCAGCCGCCGCGGCUACACCAUUGGGCUCAAGUUGAUAUAUAUCGGCGUUAAGCGUGAUUAAAGAAAUUAAAAUUACAGUUAAAUUUGGGCCCAGCCGUAAAAAACUUGCCCGAUAGAAACACAUAAACGAAAGUUACUAUAAUUAUUUAUUCUUGAACACACGACAGUUUGGAAACAAACUGGGAUUAGAUACCCCACUAUGCCAAACCGUAAAUUUAACCUACACACAACGCCUGGGCACUACGAGCUCUAGCUUAAAACCCAAAGGACUUGACGGUGUCCUACCCAACUAGAGGAGCCUGUUCUAUAAUCGAUGAUCCACGCUAUACCUAACCAUUUUUAGCUACUCAGUCCGUAUACCUCCGUCGUAAGCUUACCAUAUAAAUGCAUAAUAGUAGGCCCAAUGGUUUAACACCACAACGUCAGGUCAAGGUGCAGCUCAUGAAAUGGUAGUGAUGGGCUACAAUUUCUAAUUUAGAACAAACGAAACACUACAUGAAAUAUAGUCAUGAAGGAGGAUUUAGCAGUAAGCAGGGAAUAGAGAGCCCCACUAAACCCGGCCCUAGGACAUGUACAAACCGCCCGUCACCCUCUUCAAUAGCUUUUUUUCACUUAGUUAAUAACUCAAAUCCGCGCCUUAGAAGAGGGCAAGUCGUAACAUGGUAAGCGUACUGGAAAGUGU
rnacentral:ncRNA from 1 species